CCUACGGGAGGCAGCAGUAGGGAAUUUUCGGCAAUGGGGGGAACCCUGACCGAGCAACGCCGCGUGAAGGAAGAAGGAAUUCGUUCUGUAAACUUCUGUUAUAAAGGAAGAAAGACGGAUGGAGGACAUGACAUACGAGUGACGGUACUUUAUGAGAAAGCCACGGCUAACUACGUGCCAGCAGCCGCGGUAAUACGUGGGCGGCAAGCGUUAUCCGGAAUUAUGGGGCGUCAGGAGGGAGCAGGGGGCAGCAACGGACUGUGGUAAAAGACUGAAGCUUAACUUCAGUAAGCCAUGGAAACCGGGCAGCUAGAGUGCAGGAGAGGAUCGUGGAAUUCCAUGUGUAGCGGUGAAAUGCGUAGAUAUAUGGAGGAACACCAGUGGCGAAGGCGACGAUCUGGCCUGCAACUGACGCUCAGUCCCGAAAGCGUGGGGAGCAAAUAGGAUUAGAUACCCGAGUAGUC
rnacentral:rRNA from 1 species